CCUACGGGGGGCUGCAGUGGGGAAUAUUGCACAAUGGGCGCAAGCCUGAUGCAGCCAUGCCGCGUGUGUGAAGAAGGCCUUCGGGUUGUAAAGCACUUUCAGCGGGGAGGAAGGCGGUGAGGUUAAUAACCUCAUCGAUUGACAUUACCCGCAGAAGAAGCACCGGCUAACUCCGUGCCAGCAGCCGCGGUAAUACGGAGGGUGCAAGCGUUAAUCGGAAUUACUGGGCGUAAAGCGCACGCAGGCGGUCUGUCAAGUCGGAUGUGAAAUCCCCGGGCUCAACCUGGGAACUGCAUUCGAAACUGGCAGGCUAGAGUCUUGUAGAGGGGGGUAGAAUUCCAGGUGUAGCGGUGAAAUGCGUAGAGAUCUGGAGGAAUACCGGUGGCGAAGGCGGCCCCCUGGACAAAGACUGACGCUCAGGUGCGAAAGCGUGGGGAGCAAACAGGAUUAGAUACCCGGGUAGUC
rnacentral:rRNA from 1 species